rnacentral:ribozyme from 1 species
GAAUUAAAAAAAAAAGUGGUUCGAGGCAUCGUGGAAAACUUGUCUUUUGGGCUGUCUUUUUCCAGACGCCCAUAUCCAAAUUCCCAGUUAGUGCUCUAUAAAUUAAUUUCCUAAAUCUCGCCGUUCUUAUCCUUGUGCAUUUACUUGUCCAAAUU